rnacentral:rRNA from 1 species
UACGUAGGUGGCAAGCGAUACUCGGAAUCACUAGGCGUAAAGCGCAGGUAGGCGGUUUGGUAAGUCUUUUGUGAAAGCUCCCGGCUUAACUGGGAGAGGUCAAGGGAAACUACCGGACUAGAGUGUGGUAGGGGGAUACUGGAAUUCCUGGUGUAGCGGUGAAAUGCGUAGAUAUCAGGAGGAAUACCUAUGGCGAAAGCAGGUAUCUGGGCCAUCACUGACGCUGAGCUGCGAAAGCUAGGGGAGCAAACAGG